rnacentral:rRNA from 1 species
CCUACGGGAGGCAGCAGUGGGGAAUAUUGCACAAUGGGGGAAACCCUGAUGCAGCGACGCCGCGUGAGUGAAGAAGUAAUUCGUUAUGUAAAGCUCUAUCAGCAGGGAAGAAAAUGACGGUACCUGAGCAAGAAGCCCCGGCUAACUACGUGCCAGCAGCCGCGGCAAUACGGGGGGGGCAAGCGUUAUCCGGAAUUACUGGGCGUAAAGGGGGCGUAGACGGUGAUGUUAGUCUGGAGUGAAAGGCGGGGGCCCAACCCCCGGACUGCUCUGGAAACUAUGUGACUGGAGUGCAGGAGAGGUGAGCGGAAUGCCUAGUGUAGCGGUGAAAUGCGUAGAUAUUAGGAGGAACACCAGUGGCGAAGGCGGCUCACUGGACUGUAACUGACGUUGAGGCUCGAAAGCGUGGGGAGCAAACAGGAUUAGAUACCCGAGUAGUC